CGCUGGCAGAGUGCAUAACACAUGCAAGUCGAGCGGGACUAUUUGAGAUUACAUCAAAAGGUAGUCUAGCGGCAGACGAGUGAGUAGCACGUAAACAAUCUGCCCUUGAAUGGCGAACAACUAGCCGAAAGGUUAGCUAAUACGCCGUAACGCCCCCGGAAGGCAUCUUCUGGGGAUUAUAGGCCCGCAAGGGUCGUUCGAGGAGGAGUUUGCGGCCCAUCAGCUAGUUGGCGGUGUAACGGACCGCCAAGGCUAUGACGGGUACCUGGGCUGAAAGGCCGGACGGGCACGAUGGCACUGAGGUACGGGCCAUACUCCUACGGGAGGCAGCAGUGGGGAAUUUUGGACAAUGGGGGAAACCCUGAUCCAGCAACUCUGCGUGAGGGACGAAGCCUCUCGGGGCGUAAACCUCUUUUAUCUGGGACGAAAUCCCGCAAGGGUCUGACGGUACCAGGUGAAUAAGCCACGGCUAACUAUGUGCCAGCAGCCGCGGUAAGACAUAGGUGGCGAGCGUUAUUCGGAAUUACUAGGCGU
rnacentral:rRNA from 1 species